GAGGCAAUACUCUGAUAACUUCCUGGAGACGUCAUCUAAUGGAAGAUGGCUUCAAUCAGCUGGUCUUCAACAUCUUCAAACUUCAAAUAAUAAUGUUCCUCAGGCUCCACAGGGACAGGAAUAUGGAUACUAUGGUGGAGCUCAAGGGUCGAGAAUGCUUAGAGGUGCACAGAGGACAUAUAGUGGAGGAAGCGAUCUCUUUGCGGAGCCUUUGACGCCGCCGGGGAAUUAUCGACAUUCAAGCCAGAGAAGGAAUGGUGACGAAGAAGUAUGUCCCAAUGAG
rnacentral:misc_RNA from 1 species